AUAAUAGCAAUACAGAGGUCAAAUUACAUGGAAAUCUUUCAAAAGCGUAUACAAUUUAUUUGCCAAAGGGAUGAAAAACCAGCAAUUAAGGUUCAUCAUAUAACUUUCCUGUAACCAUUAUUGUAUAUCAUGUAACUGUUUUCCAUUCCCUACAAUGACUUAGUACAGAGGUCAUAUAUGUGUACAUGGGAACCUUUGAAAAACGAGAAUGUCAUCAUUAAUCUAUCUGUAAGCACGUAUCACAGGUUAUUUAAAGGGCAAAAUGUAGAAUAACCCUGCCGAGGAUAUUAGGCACUUCCCAGCACAAAUUCUGUUCUCUUUAAUUCCACUGCAACCACGUAUUACAGGUUAUUAAAGGGCAAUAUGAAGAGAAACCCUGCCGAGGAGGUCCACAAUAAUUAAGUUCCCUCCCCAAUGAUGUUUUCUGUUUAAUUCCACUGUAUAUCCACGUAUCACAGGUUAUUUAAAGGACAAAAUGAAGAAGAAAAAAAAACUGCCGAGGAGGCUCACAAAUUCCCUUCCCAAUGAUGUUCUCUAUUUUUAAAGGGUAUAAAGAAGAAAAACCCUGCCAAGGAGAUACACAAAAUCCCUUCCUAAUGAUGUUCUCUAUUUAGUUCCACUGUAUAACCACGUAUCACAGGUUAUUUAAAGGGCAUAAAGGAGAAAAACCCUGCCGAGGAGGUAUAUUUCAUUCCACUGUAACCACGUAUCACAGGUUAUUUAAAGGGUAUAAAGAAGAAAAACCCUGCCAAGGAGGUAUAUUUAAUUCCACUGUAACCACGUAUCACAGGUUAUUUAAAGGGCAUAAAGGAGAAAAACCCUGCCGAGGAGGUAUAUUUAAUUCCACUGUAACCACGUAUCACAGGUUGUUUAAAAGGCAUAAAGAAGAAGAACCCUGCCAAGGAGGUAGGCUAUACACCACUUCCCAGGACGAUGAUGUUCUCUAUUUAAUUCCACUGUAUAUUCACGUAUUACAGGUUAUUAAAGGGCAAAAUGUAAAGUUCCCUUCCUAAUGAUGUUCUCUAUUUAAUUCCACUGUAUAUCCACGUAUCACAGGUUAUUUAAAGGGUAUAAAGAA